rnacentral:misc_RNA from 1 species
CAAAUCCUUUGCUUUACUUCUCCCUGGGGACAUGGAAAUGGAGAGAGGAAGAGGCAGAGUCAAUUUUGAGUCCUAAGAUAAUUUCAAACCAUGUUUUAUUACCUAAUAAAAUUAUACAAAACUGAGAACUGUUGCUAAUGACCAAACUUCAAAGACCCAACUGAAUUAAAACCAGGAAUAAUUCUGUAUCGCAUGAUCAGCAAUCACCAUAUCACCAAUAAAACAAGUAAGUUUGAAACCUCUAAGAUAACCAGAGACUCCAAGAUAGACAAGGGUGAAAAUUUGACUAUCACUGAGGAUAGCACUCACAAAUCACAGUCCUCCUUUAUUCACCAAAGACAGGUAAAAUCCAUAUUUACAUAAAGCAACCUCAUAGAUGGCCCAGAUCCUUACCUUCAAACAGGAUUUUGUCAAACAGUCAGCAACAAAUCUUCCACACAAUUUUAUAAAUAUCCUAAUUGUUAUUUUUUGAGCUAUGCAUUGGUAGUCAUAUGGGCAUACUCCCUUUUCUUUUCAUCCCCAGCCUUCAAUUUUUUUCUGGGCUCUGUUUAUGCUUAAUAGUCAAAACAUUGCCAAUAAUGUCUCCAUCAUAAAGAUACUUACAACCAGAUAGGGCCUAGUGUAAUAUGAAGCUAAUAUUUUUCCAAGAAAUCAACAGGUUUUUCUUUAUUUUUUAAGUGAUGAAGAGUCAAAACACGAUAUUUUUGGUACAUCCGCAAUGCCAAAAUAGUCCAAAAUCAGGCAUGUUCACAAUGAUAUCAGUGCUACAACCAAUAGCACAAAUCAACAAUUCAAGCAAUGACAUGGCUCAAAAGAUAAAACUAGCAUAACUACAGUAAAACCAUAGGCAGUUGAAAAUCUAUAUAAUAAUAAGGGAAGACGGCAGGGAGAAUCAACAGAUAAAAGCAGAGUCCAACCUAUUCUAGGCAGUGCUGAUUCAGGUUGAUGAAUAACAACAAUGAAGGGACCAACUCAGCGACCAAGCAAAUAAUAAAUGGCUGAUGUAAGGAUUUGGUUUUGGCAAAAUGUCUUUUUCUUUCCACACAUAGUACAAAUCUAAAGUUCCUUCUUCUUGUAAGCAUGUUCAUCAGUUUGGUGAGCUCUACAACUCUAAAUAUGUUCUCAAAGCUUGGCGCUUGGUCCAUUGCAUGUCACAUUCUUCGAUGGGGAUGCACAUGCUCCUGUUAGCACAAAUGUAUACACUUCUUUCCCAAACCAAACAAUACUGUUUUGAAUGAAAACCAAGCCAAAUUAAAUUUUAAAAUUUAGGGGGGUUUUGUUUCUAAAUUAAUACAAAACCAAACAUUAUAAAUGUAUUUUACAAAAAUAAAUAAAGAUAUUAAAUAUUUCAAAGAGAUGAAAUUACAAUUGAAAUAGAUGGGUCCUGCUCUGAUCAAGUUUCAAACAAAAGCCAUAGCCAAAUAAAUGAUGUGGGUAAUAUAUAAAAAUAAAAUAUAUCACUGAUUAAACAAUUAUUCAAUUACAAAGCCAUAAUCAAACAUCUGUUUUCAAACCAAAACUUAUAAAAAAUAAUUAGAAACCAUAAAAAUUAAGUCUUUAAAAUAACAUAAUUGCCAAACAGCAAGGCCUUUGAACCUCACCUCCAAACAAAACGACAUAACACCUAUUCCGACCUGUUUGCGAACCUUUCCACCUUCUUGUCGUUUAAAUUGAUACCCACCAUAGCCUCACCGAGACCGCAACUCACCUCCGCGAGCAUGUCGGGAUCGCUAUAAUGCGUCACCGCCUGCACAAUUGCUCGGGCCCUCCUGGCGGGGUCCCCGCUCUUGAACACCCCAGACCCCACAAACACCCCAUCGCAACCCAACUGCAUCAUCAACGCUGCGUCCGCCGGCGUCGCGACCCCUCCCGCCGCGAACUGCACCACAGGUAGCCUCCCUAGCUGCUUCGUCUGCAUAACCAAAUCGUACGGCGCAGCAAUCUUCUUGGCAAAACUGAACACCUCGUCGUCGUCCAUGUUCCUCAAAACCCUAACAUCACCCAUCACAGACCUCACGUGCCUAACC